UACGGAGGAUGCAAGCGUUAUCCGGAAUGGUUGGGCGUAAAGCGUCCGCAGGUGGCUGUGUAAGUCUGCUGUUAAAGAGUGAGGCUCAACCUCAUAAAAGCAGUGGAAACUACACGGCUAGAGUGCGUUCGGGGCAGAGGGAAUUCCUGGUGUAGCGGUGAAAUGCGUAGAUAUCAGGAAGAACACCGGUGGCGAAAGCGCUCUGCUAGGCCGCAACUGACACUGAGGGACGAAAGCUAGGUGAGCGAAUGGG
rnacentral:rRNA from 1 species